rnacentral:rRNA from 1 species
UACGGAGGGUGCGAGCGUUGUCCGGAAUCACUGGGCGUAAAGGGCGCGUAGGUGGCGCGGGCAGUCAACGGUGAAAGUUCGGGGCUCAACCCUGAAUCGGCCGUCGAUACUCCCGGGCUUGAGCACUGUAGAGGCAGAUGGAAUUCCGGGUGUAGCGGUGGAAUGCGUAGAGAUCCGGAAGAACAUCGGUGGCGAAGGCGCUCUGCUGGACCAUAACUGACACUCAGGGACGAAAGCUAGGGGAGCGAAUGGG